rnacentral:rRNA from 1 species
GACGUAGGGGGCCAGCGUUGUUCGGAAUUACUGGGUGUAAAGGGUUCGUAGGCGGUGCGGCAAGUCGGGAGUGAAAUCUCUGGGCUUAACCCAGAGGCUGCUUCCGAAACUGCUGUGCUUGAGUGUGGGAGAGGCGCGUGGAAUUGCAGGUGUAGCGGUGAAAUGCGUAGAUAUCAGGAGGAACACCGGUGGCGAAGGCGGGUCUCUGGGCCGUAACUGACGCUGAGGAGCGAAAGCGUGGGGAGCGAACAGG